CUGACACAGAGCAGAUGGAGCAGGAAGCUGGUCUUGAGAAAAACACCUGCUUUAGGGACAGGAGCUACUCACCGUAAAAGUCACUUGGAGGCCUGACUGCAUGGGGUGCAGCGUCCUUGUGAAGAGUCCUCAGAUGGCUCUAGAGCUGGCAGUGCUGCUUUUCAGUAUUCAGCUCUGACAACUUCCCAACCCCCUCACAUCUACCACGGCCCCCACAGAGAAGAGAAAAGAAAAAAGCCCACAGACGCCCAGCCGAGGAUUCCUCUGGGCGAGGGGAGGCAUCAGAACAUGCUGAGAGCCAGAAGAUGUCCCAGAUUGGCAAGAGAGAAAUGGAAAUGACUUCAGUUUGGCCCCUGGCCCGAUGGGAGUUGCUGCCCAGAGGUAGUGCCCCUGAGCGCUGCGCUGCACUGGGGGAAGCCACACAGAGCUGGGUAGAGAAACCCUCUGGGCAGUGCCAGUAGCAGCUCCCACGGGUUCCCUGGAUGGAGAGACUGAAGGCAAAGGAAACAGUAAAGUCUGGAGGGACAAGGGAGAUGUUUUGUAAUAUUUACAUUUUUUUUUCUGAUUUUAUGAAUUCUGUACACUUCAAAUAAUAUAAAAUGCCAGUUCUAACACUGGAGUUUCUGUAUUCCCCCAAAUAAAAAUGACAUUAUUAGACUUGUCCUCUUGUUCCACCAUUGCAAUCCCUCCAUCACCACAGCCUUGAAGAGCUGGGAUGCCCUGGGCAAUCAGCACACUGAGACCAGGGUGUCUGCCUCCCUCAGGUGCCUAUGGACCAGAAGGCGAAACCAACUGGGCCUGGCUCCUGGAAAGCGAGAGAACCAGGGGACCACAACAACAAGUUUGAAACCACAGGAGAAACAUGAUUUCUACAUGUUCAGCAUAUUUAAGGGCUCAAAAGAAAUUAUUGUUACAGAAAGUAAAAUAAGAAAAAAAGACUGCCCCCCCUACAGUAUGAAGAAAAUGUUACAAUGAAGAUAAUUUGAACAAACACCAUAGACGCAUUGCUACCUCUCCCAUUAUCUGUCUCCAACUUUUGUGCGUUACUUUCCCCGGAAAAAUUUGAAACAUUAAAGAAAAAUAUUUAGAUAAAAUAUGCGUUUGCAGAUAACUGAAUUAACUUGGAGUCUGAAGAACAAGCUGAUUUCUUAUUUACAUUGAAGAAUGAUUACAAGACAUUAAGUAAGAUGGAAAACUUUCAAUUGUCAAGUAAAAAUAAUGUAUGGUUACAAUCACUGUCCUCAGUGACCUGUUAGUGUGAACUGCAAUUUUCAACCCUGACCUGAUAAAAAUCAAAAGAAAGGCUUGACCGUGUGUCAGCUGUGCAUGUUGCAUUGUCCCGUGUGUUUGUGUGCUGUACCAAACGUAUCAAUAAGCAAGCACAUCCAUUGCAAUAUAUAUAAAAUCCUUUCUAAUAUUUUUUUAAAUUUUUUUUAUUUUUUAUUUAAAAAAAAUUUUUUUUUUUCCUUUUUCCCCAAAGCCCCCCGGUACAUAGUUGUAUAUUCUUCGUUGUGGGUCCUUCUAGUUGUGGCAUGUGGGACGCUGCCUCAGCGUGGUUUGGUGAGCAGUGCCAUGUCCGCACCCAGGAUCUGAACCAAUGAAACACUGGGCCGCCUGCGGCGGAGCGCACGAACUUAACCACUUGGCCACAGGGCCAGCCCCCUUUUCUAAUGUUUUUUGGGGGGGGGUUACCUGUUGCAUUGAAAUAUUAGUAAAUAACGUUUUAUGUAAAUACAGUUAUAUUUUUACUUUACAAUAUGUUAUGAGCUGAAUUGUGUCCCCUGCAAAUUCUGUAUUGAUGUCCCAGCUCCUAGUACCUCAGAAUGUGACUGUAUUUGGAAAUAGGGCCUUUGAAGAGGUGAUUAAAUUAAAACAAGGGCAUUAGGGUGGUUCUUAAUUCAAUCUGAUUGACGUCCUGAUAACAAGAGGAGAAUAGGACAGAGAGGCACCUGGGGCACCUGCAUACAGAGAAAAGGCCCUGUGAGGACACAGCGAGAAGGCCGCCAUCUGCAAGCCCAGGAGAGAGCCCGCAGGAGAAACCAACUCUGCGGGCGCUUUGAUCUUGGACUUCUAUCCAGAACCGUGAGAAAUAAACUUCUGCUGUUUAAGCCAUGUAGUCUGUGAUAUUUUGUUAUGGCAGCCUGGCAAACUAUAUAGCAUACAUACACUAUAUGUCGUAGGGUAUUGUUCUAUGAAAUUUUAGUUUCAGUUGUGUAUAUGUGUACUGAGUCUCAAUGCAAGAUGCAUUUCUAAUAUGAGUUGUAGGUCAAAAUGUCUGAAAAUG
ensembl:lncRNA